AUCCAUCUGACGAGUCCUAAAUAGGACGAAACACGCUCCUUGGAU
rfam:Schistosoma curassoni strain Dakar, Senegal genome assembly, scaffold: SCTD_scaffold0013840